CGCAUGUGCGGGGCAGGGGCCGGGGGAAGGCGAACCGGGCGAGCGUUAUUGGGAAUGACUGGGCUUAAAGGGGGCGUAGGCGGGGAUUGAAGUCGGUGGUGAAAUCCGCCGGCCUAACUGGAGAAGAGCUGUCGAUACUGGAUGUCUCGAGGGGUGCAGGGGUCUGCGGAACUUCGGGUGGAGCGGUGAAAUGCGUAGAGAUCCGAAGGAACGCCGGUGGCGAAAGCGGCGGACUGGGCACCUUCUGACGCUGAGGCGCGAAAGCCAGGGGAGCAAACGGGAUUAGAUACCCCAGUAGUC
rnacentral:rRNA from 1 species